rnacentral:rRNA from 1 species
ACUCCUACGGGAGGCAGCAGUGGGGAAUAUUGCACAAUGGGCGCAAGCCUGAUGCAGCCAUGCCGCGUGAAUGAUGAAGGCCUUAGGGUUGUAAAAUUCUUUCGCCAGGGAUGAUAAUGACAGUACCUGGUAAAGAAGCCCGGCUAACUUCGUGCCAGCAGCCGCGGUAAUACGAAGGGGGCUAGCGUUGUUCGGAAUUACUGGGCGUAAAGCGCACGUAGGCGGACUUUUAAGUCAGAUGUGAAAUCCCGAGGCUCAACCUCGGAACUGCAUUUGAAACUGGGAGUCUAGAGAUCAGGAGAGGUUAGCGGAAUACCGAGUGUAGAGGUGAAAUUCGUAGAUAUUCGGUGGAACACCAGUGGCGAAGGCGGCUAACUGGACUGAUACUGACGCUGAGGUGCGAAAGUGUGGGGAGCAAACAGGAUUAGAUACCCUGGUAGGAUAGCG